rnacentral:misc_RNA from 1 species
GGAAGAUGGUAGCUAGUUUUCACCUACAAAAGAAGAGUGAUCAGGACGAUAAGAGCAGUAGCAAAGGAGAUCCUAUAGAAGAGUCUUUACAAGUAGAUGCAUCAAUUUUUUUGCUUGUAGCCCCUGCACAUAUAUCAUAUAUGCUACAAUCCAUGCAUCUUUAGUCUCCUUUAUCUUUGGUUGUUUCACAUUAAGUUUUAUUAAAUGCCUUUUGUGCAAGGAGAGGGCAAUCUCUCUCCCCAGCUUUGCAAUUAAUUAUGCAGAACUAAAAAGAACACUAACAAGGAAAAAGAAAAAUCUCACAAUAUCAAUAUUAAAAAGCUCUAAUAAAAUAUCAAUAAGAGUGAAACAAAGAACUCCAUCAUUUCCUUCACAUUCAUGAGAACAUCUGAACAUAUAAAAUCAAUCACAAUUACAAUUGAAAGACUUUUCACUUCAAUUCACCAUGAACAAAAGAAUUGGAUAAAAUUUUCAAUUUUCACUAUUUUCUCCAUAGAAAAGUUUUAUUAUUUCCUUGUCUUCUCUAUGGUUUGUUUUUCUUUUUUUCUUUCCCUAGGAUCAAUUUCUCAGUCUUUUCUUUCUCAUUCUCAUUAAUUAGCUUCUUUCUCUCAAAUAUGUUACUCAAAAUUUUCCAACUCCGCCUUAUAUAUCAUUUUCGAUUUAAACAUGUGAAGUCUCAACUAUCAAAGCUUCAUAUUCAUCAAGCUACUCUUCUUGUUUUUCAAAAACCCUUGAUAUUGCUUCCAACUUUGCUUCAAUCCUGUCCAAGCACUUUUUAUUUUUUUCUUGACACAUUUCUUCAAAUUGAACAUUCAAGCAAGUAUCAUAAGCCAAAUAGUUAGAACUUAUUAAUGG